AACGAACGUUGGCGGCGUGGAUGAGGCAUGCAAGUCGAACGCGAAAGCCGCAAGGCGAGUAAAGUGGCGGACGGGCGAGUAACACGUAAUCAAGCUACCUGCGAGACGGGGAUAACUUCGGGAAACCGAAGCUAAGACCCGAUGGUCUUCUAGGAACGCAUGUUCCAUGAAGUAAAUGGGCGGGAUCCUCCGGGAUCGCCUGCUCGCAGAGGUGAUUGCGGCCCAUCAGCUAGUUGGUAGGGUAAUGGCCUACCAAGGCAACGACGGGUAGCCGGCCUUAGAGGGUGGUCGGCCGCACUGGGACUGAGACACUGCCCAGACUCCUACGGGAGGCUGCAGUCGAGAAUCUUCCGCAAUGGGCGAAAGCCUGACGGAGCGACGCCGCGUGGAGGAUGAAGGCCUC
rnacentral:rRNA from 1 species